AAAAAACCCAUCCCCUCAAAAAACAAAAGAAAAAUCCCAAAAACCUCAAUCCAGUUAAAACCCUAACGCUAUUGUACUCGUGUUUAUUGCUGGUUAAUUUCCAAUAGCUAUUAACCAGAAAGACUCAAAAGCUUUCUCUCGCUGGUCUUUGAAGAAGAUGGCUCGUGUUCAAAGUCACAUCCCUCUGAAUGUUUGAGUUGCAAAUCUCUAUAACUGGGCGACACAAAUUGUAUACUGCUAUUACUUAUCUCACUGAAUCCAGCAUCCUGUUAUCAUGCUUCUUCCGGCGGCAUCUG